CAUCUCACGGGCUGCCAGGGAGCGGGGUUGGCUACUCCUGCAACCAGCGUGAAGAGGGUCUCAGGGGAGGCUGUGGUGGGAUCCCCCACGUGCCCUUGUUCCUCUCACCGUUACCUCUGGAUGCCUCGGGGCAAAGGCCUUCUUCCACCUAUAGACAGAGUCUACGCAGGGGUCUUGGAACCCGGGCACACCAGUCCCCAGCUAACGAAAUCCCCGAGUUGGGGGAUUUGAGAGGGUCACGUUUGGCCCAAGAACCCGCAGUCCUCUUUGGUCUUCGGCCCUCUAUUUCUAAGCGUGGGCUUCUGGCACGGCGGCUCUGGGCACAGCCCAUGCUGCUUUCGGGCUGGGUGGUUUCAACGACGACAACAAUUAUCACAGUGACGGUGACCUUCACCCCAACAGGACUGCUGUGUGUGAAGCACUCAAGAGGGCCCCUACAACCAACCUGCCAGGAGUCGGCUCCUGAAAACAGGGUCGGAAAAGAUCUCAGUCCUCUAUCUGUGAAACGGAAUUCGGCCUUGCCUGUCCACGAAAUGAAGACAAGGCAUCUCGUGUGUGUUAAGAUGAAACAAGAUCUUAGCAAGAGAGUAAUGAUUUCUUUUUUAAAACAUUUUUUACUGUAGUAAAAUGUACUAUAACGUAAAAUUACCAUUUCAAUCAUUUGUAAGUUCAGUGGCAUUAAGUACAUUCACAUUGUCGGGCAGCUGUCAGAGGUGUUCGAACCAGAGCGACUCCAUCUUGAACAGGUGCUGCGCAAAAUGAGGCUGAGACCUGCUGGGCUGCAUUCCCAGGAGGUUAGGCAUUCUUCGUCACAGGAUGAGUCAGUGGCUGCCAGGGAGGCAGGGGUCUGGCACUCUUCCUCAUGCUUACGAGAUGGCUGCUGGAAUUCCAGGAAUCACAUGCAAAUUCUAGUCAGGAGCAAAGAGGAAGAGACACAGUGAAAAGGGGUAUACAGCGGCAGAAGGAAGCUCCUCAAAUGAACUCUGCUAGAACUCUAGCCAGUAGCUUCUCCUUCUAUCACAGUGGCCAGAACUGUGACAAGUGACCAUCCUUAGGGGAAAAAAGAUGCUGAGAAAUGUGAAUUUUGUUGCCACCUUACAUUUUCAAAGGAGUUCCAUUCGUAAGUACAGAACGCUCAGAGAAGAGGCAGCAGAUCUAGGAUAUGGAGCAGCAGCUCUUAAGGGCACAGUGGGAAGGUUUCAAGACUGAGGAGGAUCUUGGAUUUGGGUAGGGGAAGGCAGUUCACAGUAUUGUGGAGGAAAUGCUGUGAAAGAGAAAGUGGAAGGCAUGGAAGCUUAAACUUUUAAUAUGACUGGUGAAUACAAGGAUGAAGGGCAAAGGGAAUUCAGACUCAUGGUGGUCAGAUUAAGACCUUCAGCGGCUCUGUCUCCCAGCCCCACAUACCCACUUCCAUGUUCUGCUCUUUACUGAAGCUGAAAGUCUGCAACCUUCAUUCUCUGACUCCCUUACAUUUUCUUAGGCUUCUUGCUAGCUUCUGCCAAAAAGAGGCCCUGGCAGGAGAUUAGAUGGCAGGAGGCAGAGGUAAGGAUUCCAUGUUAACAGGUGCUGGAAGUUGCUGGUGUGGCAAUGAGAACUGGGCCCCGGUCAAGGCAGCACUACUUUGGUAGAUCCAGAAUCAACCAUGAUAACCGUGACAGUGUCUUCAACAGUGCAGCAGUAGACACAGGCCCCUGGUGCUGGAAUCCAAUACAGGGACAGGAGCAGCACGGAGUCACGGAACACCGUCUUGCCUUCAUGUCACUUUACCAUUUCUUCUUUCUCCCUCUUACUCUACCAGCUACCUGUGGAGAUGUUGAACCUUUUAUCUGUCGCUGUCUGCUUAGGAACAGAAGAAAAGGCAGCUGAUUGCUUGACUCAGCUUUCAGCUUGAUUUUUUUCCUUUGGCAGAGUGAAUUGGGGUCCCAGGUGUUCAUUUUCCUUUUGUAGUACCUUUCCUCAGCAUGCAAUUAAUACAAAAAGAACAAUAAACCUUAACAAAGUUUGGCUUGUAUUAUUCCAGACUUUCCUCUUGGAUUUUAUGUACACUUAUCUGAAUCCAUGCAGAUCAUGUCAUGUGUGUCUGUGUGUUUAUACACAUUUUUUUUUCGGUGUGCCUCAUUCUGCAACUUGAUUUUUUAAAAAAUUCGAUAACUGAUCUUGGAGAUCUGUCCAUGUUGUUACAUAUAUGAGAUUUUUGUAUUUCCUUUAAUUAAUGGUGUUCAAGUAGCCGUUUAUGUAACGAUGAACAUUCAGGUUUUUGCAAUUUUUUGCUCUUAAUAAGGUGCCCUGGUGAACAAACAUUCUUGUACAUGUGCCAGAGUUUCUCUGGAGUAAUUAACCAGCGUGGAA
rnacentral:lncRNA from 1 species